rnacentral:lncRNA from 1 species
CGAAAAUAACGAUGAUAGAUCAUUUAGCUAUGACAGAAUGUUGAUGCAUAAAUCUUGGUGGCACGAUAAUGAACGUUGAUCAACAAUAAUAAUUAUUCAGUCAAUAUCAUCAAAUAAUGAUGAUAUAUAGAUCGUUUAGCUAUGAUAAAUGAUGAUGCAUGAAUCUUGGUGUACAUGAGAAUGGUCAACUGAAAGAUUAGGAUAAUUAAUCGAUCGGUCAACGCCAACAAAAUAGCUAGAGUUCGUGGGCAUGUUCCAUGAGAGAGGCCACAUCGGUGCUCAAAUCACUAAGUUUCUAAUGAAUGAUAGUAGAUAAGAGCAGGAAAACAAAGAGUAUAAUAGUACUAGGAGUUUCUCACUUGGAGCUAGCUCAAAUGCCUCUAAUCGUUUAAAUAUCAAAGUAGCCUUUGGUAAUUUUAUGUAUUUAAACUAUAAUAAUGUCAAUAUUGACAAACGCCAGUGUCUGUCAGAUAGUUGGAUUUGACCACAUAUACUUUACCAUUCUAAUCAAACAUGAUGACUUUGGAAUUUACAGGGACUAAGAACCAAGCAUACUCGUUAUUUUUCACCCACACAAGCCACCGUAAAAGGAACGUCAGCCUCCAAAUAUCCACUCUUCAUGGAUUUUUUAUUUAUUUAUUUAUUAAGGUGAAUAUUCAUACUAACUUGUGUAUGUUUUAACUAAUUUUAUAUAGCUCAAACUCACUGCUUCUAAAAAAAUAAAUCUAAAAACUCACCAUUUAAGCUACUCCAAUUUCUUCGUGGUUUUCUUUCUUUGCCUGGUCAAUGCGCUUCUCUUACAUGCAAAGAGCCACCAGCUGGUGACCAGAAGUACUAUAUAUAAUAGGAAAAGGCUUACCAAAGGAAUCGGUUAUUUCUUUCCUGCACAAAGGUAAACUAGGAGCAUCCCACCGUGUUUCCCUUUUCUUUCUUAGACAAGAAGAUGGAGAUAGAAGGGCAAGCCACUGUAAAGGAAUCUCAGCCUCCAAAAUUCGCUCUUCCAGUGGAUUCAGAACACAAGGCAACUGAGUUCCGGUUGUUCUCAGUAGCUGCCCCUCACAUGCGGGCAUUCCAUCUGUCUUGGGUUUCUUUCUUUGCCUGUUUUGUCUCUACUUUUGCUGCUCCACCCCUUCUUCCUAUCAUACGUGACAACCUCAACCUCACUGCCUCUGACAUUGGUAAUGCGGGCAUUGCAUCAGUGUCAGGUGCAGUUUUUGCUCGAGUUGCUAUGGGGACUGCUUGUGACCUUUUUGGACCCCGUCUAGCCUCUGCCUCAUUGAUCCUCAUCACUGCACCAGCAGUUUACUUCACUUCCAUCGCCUCAUCUUCUACUUCUUUUCUCCUGGUGCGUUUUUUCACUGGCUUCUCUCUGGCCACUUUUGUCUCGACUCAAUUCUGGAUGAGCUCUAUGUUUUCAGCCCCGGUAGUUGGCACGGCUAAUGGCGUUGCAGGUGGUUGGGGUAACCUUGGCGGUGGGGCAACGCAACUAAUCAUGCCCCUUGUGUUUGGCCUCAUCCGUGACAUUGGAGCCAUCAAAUUUACAGCUUGGAGAAUUGCGUUUUUCAUUCCUGCCCUGUUUCAGACACUAUCGGCAUUUGCAGUCUUGAUCUUUGGCAAGGACUUGCCGGACGGAAACUUUGGGCGGCUGCAGAAAGCAGGGGAUAAAACAAAAGAUAAAUUCUCAAAUGUCUUCUAUCAUGGAAUAAAAAAUUACAGGGGGUGGAUCCUGGCGCUCAGUUAUGGGUAUUGUUUUGGGGUAGAGCUGACAAUAGACAACAUUGUCGCAGAAUACUUCUAUGACAGAUUUGACCUCAAACUCCAUACAGCAGGAAUGAUUGCAGCAAGUUUUGGUCUAGCAAACAUUGUUUCUCGACCAGGUGGUGGAAUGAUCUCAGAUGCAGUAGGGAAGAGGUUCGGAAUGAGGGGGAGGUUGUGGGCUUUGUGGAUAGCGCAGACCUUGGGAGGUGUUUUCUGCAUCAUACUUGGGCGAGUUGGAUCUUUAGGCGCGUCCAUUGUGGUGAUGAUCGUGUUCUCUUUAUUCUGCCAAGCAGCAUGUGGACUAACAUUUGGGGUGGUGCCUUUUGUCUCACGAAGGUAAGAUUUCUCCCAUAUGUGUUAACACCGAUAUUAUCUGCAGCUCAAGAAAACAACAGAAGUUUUUGGUUAGGAUUUCAGAGUUUUCUGAUUGCAAUUAGAGUUAACUAAAUAAGAGCAAAAAGUUUUUUCUCGGCCAAGCUUAGAAUUGAUUCAGUAUAAAUUUCACGAAAGUUUUUUGACAGAUGCUCAUCUUGUAUAUUCCUUCGGUAUGGAACUAGACAGGAGAGUAAACUUUGGUUGAGAUAUCUAACAAUACCAUUAUGCUUAAUGAAAUUCCAUCACAACUAGCAACAUCCUUGGAUCUGCUUGUAGAAUUUAAUGACACUAAAGGCAUAUUUUUUCUAAGAAUUCUUUUCCUGACUCCAUUCAUAUUUCUUAUUUUCAGGUCAUUGGGGCUGAUAUCUGGUAUGACUGGAGGUGGUGGAAACGUGGGUGCGGUUCUAACUCAACUAAUUUUCUUCAGAGGAUCCAAAUACUCAAAAGACAGAGGGAUAAUGCUCAUGGGUGUCAUGAUUAUAUGCUGCACUCUUCCAAUUUGUCUUAUAUACUUCCCACAAUGGGGUGGAAUUUUUUGUGGUCCAUCAUCUACAAAGAUCGCUACAGAGGAAGACUACUACUUGUCCGAAUGGACUUCAGAGGAGAAGGAGAAAGGCCUGCAUCUAUCAAGCUUAAAGUUUGCAGAUAACAGCAGACGUGAAAGAGGUAGAAAAGAAGAUUCUGAAACCAGGCCAGUAGAUGAAAGCCCAUCAACACAAGUCUAGAUCAUGCCUCAUAGCCAUACUUCUCUAGUGUCUGCUAGCAUCCCAACAGGCGAGCAAGUAAUGUGCAUUAUAUCUAUAAUGCUCAAGUUUAUGGCUGCUAGCUCUCAGAGCAUUACAAAAUUUAUACAUUGGACAUGUAGACCUCAUAGUCUGGAUGAAAAUGUUGUUUAAUUUCCACAGUAAAGUCAUCAGAAGCAACUCUAUGGAAAACGUUAAUUUAUUUUACUUUACAAAGCCUUAACUAAUCAAUAAAAUGUGAACAAAUACAUGGUCAUUAUCUCAGAACCAUAGAACAGAAAAUUUUAAUUUGGUAAUUUGAAGAAAACAAUGAAGGCAACAAUUGUAUUCGGUAGAAGAUUAAGAUAUCCUACUAGUAUAUUUGGUUCCACAGGUCUCCUAAAUCAUUCAUAUGUCAUCUCAUCAAACAUCAUUCCCAUGAAAAAAAAAAAAAAAACUCCUCACCAAGGAAGAAAUUCUGAGAGAAACUGAAUCUUAUUAAGAAGAAUAGAAAAAAGGAAAGGACCUUUUUCAGUGAAAUUCUAGAUUAUUUGGUCCGGAUCUCUUAUUUCAAACAGCAAUAAACAAAUAACUAUCUAAAACAGCAAGCAAGACAAAAUGCAGCUUUCACAGCCGAUCUACAUAAACGAUGUGGCUGUUGAGCUGUGAGAUAGCAGUUGAAGAUUGUAUUCUGUUACAGUUGGUUAUAACCAACGGGAAUCUUGUAUAGAUAAUACCCAGCUAAGCUCAUGUAUAAAUAGCAACGAUUACAAGCAAAUAACGUCAUGAAUUAGAAAUCAUUCACUUACCCAUUGUUUCUCUUCUCUGUUCCUCUCUUCAUUAUUCUUCUCUGCAAAUCUUCUUAUUACUUCAACCAUAUUCUCUGUCUCUUCACAACAUAUGGUAUCAGAGCCAUAUCACUAAAAUCAAAUAAAGAACAUCAAGAAACUGAGUUUUCUUGAAAAAGAAAAGCAAAGCAGAAAAGAUCAAUCAAUGACAACAGAAUCAAACAAUUUUGUGCAGGCAGCAAUACCAAGAUUUGAUGGUCAUUAUGACCAUUGGUCUAUGCUUAUGGAGAACUUUCUUAAGUCCAAAGAAUACUGGAGUCUAAUAGAAAAAGGGAUUGGUGCAGCAAGAGGAGAAGGAGCACAAUCAGCAGCACAACAGAAAGUAAUUGAAGAAGAAAAAUUGAAGGAUUUAAAGGUCAAGAACUACCUAUUUCAAGCCAUUGACAGAACCAUCAUUGAAACUAUACUCAAUAAGGAGACUUCAAAGGCCAUUUGGGAUUCCAUGAAACUGAAAUAUCAAGGAUCCACCAAAGUGAGACGUGCCCCAGUUACAAGCACUUAGAAGAGAAUUUGAAGUUCUUGGCAUGAAAGAAGGGGAAAAAGUUGAUGAGUACUUUACAAGAACAUUAACUAUUGCAAACAAAAUGCAAGUGCAUGGAGAAAGUAUGAAGCAGAAUGUAAUUGUUGAGAAAAUUUUAAGGUCAAUGACCUCAAAAUUCAAUUAUGUUGUCUGUUCUAUUGAAGAAUCUAAUGAUUCUUCAACCAUGUCAAUAGAUGAACUUCAAAGCAGUCUCCUAGUUCAUGAACAGAGGAUGCAAGGUCAGAAAGAAGAAGAGCAGGCUUUAAACAUUACUAAUUCAGAGAAAAUGGGAGGAAGAAUUGAAUACAGAACUGAAGGGAAGGAAAGAUUUCGUGGUGGUAUCAGGGGAAGGGGUCGAGGAAGGGGAAGACAGCCCUACAACAAAGCCUUGAUCCAGUGCUACAACUGCCAAAAACUAGGACAUUUUCAAUACGAAUGUCCUGUUAGAAACAGAAAUGACAGGAAUGCAUAUUUUGCAGAAGUAGAUGAGGAAGAAGAGAUGUUAUUAAUGGCCUACAAAGAUGAAGGGGAUCAUGAAGAUAUACAGCAAAAAGAAGAAGUUGUAUGGAUUCUUGACUCAGGUUGCAGCAAUCACAUGUGCAGCAACAAGGAAUGGUUUUUUGAAUUUGAUGACAAGUUUAGAAGAACUGUAAAGCUUGGAGACAAUUCAAAAAUGAUGGCUAUGGGAAAGGGACAUAUCAAGCUAAACAUCAAAGGAAUUACACAGGUAUUCACAGAGGUAUAUUUCAUACCUGAAUUGAAGAACAACCUCCUGAGCAUAGGCCAGCUGCAAGAAAAACAGUUAGCAAUUCUUAUCAAAGAUGACAAAUGUAGGGUUUAUCACCCUAAGAAAGGUUUGAUUAUGCAAUCUCAAAUGUCAUCUAACAGAAUAUUUCCCAUACUUGCUACUGUGAUAACUCCAAUGGCUAGUUGUCUACAAGCAACAUCUGAAGAUGUCACCAAUCUAUGGCACUGUCGAUAUGGGCAUCUAAGCCUCAAGGGGCUGAAAACCUUGGUUUCAAUGGAGAUGGUCAAGGGUUUACCUGCACUGAAUGACUCAUUAAAAGUCUGUCAAGAUUGCAUGAAAGGAAAGCAGCAUAGAGAGACAUUGCCAAAGAAAAGUCUGUGGAGAGCAUCCAAGAAACUACAACUUGUCCAUGCAGAUAUUUGUGGACCCAUUUCACCACAAUCAAACAGUGGGAAAAGGUACAUAAUCACUUUUAUAGAUGAUUAUAGUAGAAAAACUUGGGCAUAUUUUCUAUUACACAAAUCUGAAGCACUGUCUAUAUUCAAGAAAUAUAAAGUGAGUGUGGAAAAAGAAAGUGGUGAAAGAAUCAGUUGUUUAAGAACUGACAGAGGGGGAGAGUUCACCUCAAGUGAAUUUAAUGAUUUUUGCAGCACACAUGGAAUCAAGAGACAACUUACCACAGCAUACACCCCACAGCAGAAUGGGGUUGCAGAGAGAAAGAAUCGCACCAUAAUGAAUAUGGUGCGCAGCAUGUUGUCAGGGAAGGAAUUACCAAAGCAAUUCUGGGCAGAGGCUGUAAAUUGGUCCAUCUAUGUGAUAAAUAGAAGCCCCACCACAGCUGUUCCCAAUACUACUCCUGAAGAAGCUUGGAGUAACAGGAAGCCUAGUGUUGAGUGUUUCCGUGUGUUUGGAUGUGUGGCUUAUGCUCACAUACCUGACAAUCAACGCAAGAAGUUAGAUGACAAAAGUUUCAAAUGUGUGUGGUUAGGAGUAAGUGAAGAGUCUAAAGGGUACAGACUUUAUGACCCUGUGGGAAAGAAAAUCAUCACUAGCAGAGAUGUAGUAUGUGUGGAAAAUGAAAAGUGGGAGUGGGACAGAAGUGCAGAAGAGUUGAAGCAUAAAGAGUUAGAAUGGGCAGACAUUAAUGAGGAAGAAGACAGUGAGAUCAGUGGAGGUUUUGAAGGUGUAAACAGUCAUCCUGAACAUGCUGAUGGUGUGCACAAUGAUAACUCAUCAAGUAGUCUUGUAGAUAGUCUACCUGAUGGAAUAUCACAGAAUGACAAGCAAGAAAGGUGCAGAAGAAAACCAACCUGGUUAACAGAUUAUGUGACUGAUGAAGCACUAUCUGAAGGAGAAGAAGAGGGAGGACAUAAUCUUGCAAUGCUCAUCUCUACAGAGGACCCUGUCACAUUUGAAGAAGCAGUCAAAAGUGAAAAGUGGAGAACAGCAAUGGAUACAGAGAUAAAGGCCAUUGAAAAGAACAAUACAUGGGAAUUAACUGUCCUACCAGCUGAAGCAAAACCUAUAGGAGUGAAGUGGGUAUUCAAGACCAAAUUAAAUGAAGAGGGAAAGGUGGACAAGCACAAGGCAAGGCUUGUGGCAAAGGGGUACUCCCAAAGACAAGGAAUUGACUAUAAUGAAGUAUUCGCACCAGUAGCUAGGUGGGAUACAAUCAGAACUAUCCUAGCAUUGGCAGCUCACAAAGGCUGGUAUGUUUAUCAGCUGGAUGUUAAGAGUGCCUUUUUGCAUGGAGAGCUAGCUGAAGCCAUAUUUGUUGAACAACCACAAGGAUUUGAGAAACAAGGAGAGGAGCAUAAGGUGUACAGACUGAAAAGAGCAUUAUAUGGACUCAAGCAAGCCCCUAGGGCUUGGUACAGCAGAAUUGAGACUUACUUUGUCAAAGAGGGCUUUGAAAAAUGCUUCUGUGAACAUACAUUAUUCACAAAAACCAGUGACAAAGGCAGUAUGCUAAUUGUAAGUCUAUAUGUGGAUGAUCUUAUCUUUACAGGAAAUAGUGAAUGCAUGUUUAAAGGCUUCAAAGACUCAAUGAUGAGAGAGUUUGACAUGUCUGAUCUUGGAAGAAUGAAGUACUUUUUAGGUGUGGAAGUCAUACAAAAUGCAGAACUGAUAUUCAUCUGUCAAAAGAAGUAUGCUAGAGAGGUGUUGGGAAGAUUUGGAAUGGAACAUAGUAAUGCAGUGCAGAAUCCAAUUGUCCCAGGAUGCAAACUUACAAAAAAUGAAGAAAAUGCAAAGGGUGUAAAUACUACAGAAUAUAAGCAAUUAGUUGGCAGUUUGCUAUAUUUGACAGCCACUAGACCCGAUCUUAUGUAUGCAGUUGGGUUAGUCAGUAGAUAUAUGGAAAGACCCACUGAAAUGCACCUUCAAGCUGUCAAAAGGAUACUAAGGUAUCUCAGGGGAACUACAGAAUUUGGGAUUAUAUACAGAAAAGGGGAUGAAGGACAACUAAGAGCAUAUGCAGAUAGUGAUUAUGCUGGGGAUGUUGAUGACAGGAAGAGUACAUCUGGGUUUGUGUUUAUGCUUGGUACAGGAGCUGUUUCUUGGUCCAGUAAGAAACAACCCGUGGUGACAUUAUCUACAACAGAGGCAGAGUUUAUAGCUGCUGCAUCCUGUGCUUGUCAAGGAGUUUGGUUAAGAAGAAUUCUGGGCAAUAUUGGCCUUGAACAAGUGACUAGUACAGUGAUCUAUUGUGAUAAUAAUUCUGCUAUAAAACUUUCAAAAAACCCAGUACUACAUGGUCGAAGCAAACACAUAGAUGUCAGAUUUCACUUCCUAAGGGAUCUUACAAGAGAUGGGGUUGUGGAACUAGUAUACUGCAACACACAAGAGCAAAUUGCAGAUAUCAUGACGAAACCACUAAAGCUAGAGGCUUUCUUAAAGCUAAGGGACAAAUUAGGCAUGGGUAUGAUGCAAAAAUUGAACUAAUCGACAAAUUAGUUCAAGGGAGGAUGUUGAGCUGUGAGAUAGCAGUUGAAGAUUGUAUUCUGUUACAGUUGGUUAUAACCAACGGGAAUCUUGUAUAGAUAAUACCCAGCUAAGCUCAUGUAUAAAUAGCAACGAUUACAAGCAAAUAACGUCAUGAAUUAGAAAUCAUUCACUUACCCAUUGUUUCUCUUCUCUGUUCCUCUCUUCAUUAUUCUUCUCUGCAAAUCUUCUUAUUACUUCAACCAUAUUCUCUGUCUCUUCACAACAGUGGCCAUUUUAAAUUUGCCAGUUCAACAAGCUAAACUGACCUUAAUGCAAUUAAUCUUUGAUGUCGCUGAGAGGAAUUAAGACAAGUUCUAGCUGAGAUGACCUUUCGUCCCUGCAAGACCAUGAUGGAAUUUCUUGUUGGAGGAUCUCUCCGGUAUGUAAGCAAGUAUUUGAAGGUUAGUGUUAGUCUAGAGACCAUACAGGAAGCUCAUUUACACUAUAGUGUUACGGUGUGUGCUUCUCGAGAGUAAGGACUUUACUUGCUUGGUGGAAUUAAGUAUCUAUACAUAAGACGUAUGGAUUAAGAAUAAAAAAAUAAUAACCUGGAAAGUUAUUAUUACUACCUGUAUUGAAAAAUAAUACAUUGGAAAAGAUAUUUAUACCCUUUGAUGAGUAAUUAAGGGUAUAAAUAUUUGAAAGAUAUUUUGGAUCUUUUCAUAUAUUUUGAUAAAUAUAAAUAGAAAGUGUAUAUAUAUAUAUAUAAAGAAGUUCUCUUGAGAGAGAACCAUAAGAGAAGAAGAGGGGAAGAAGGAAAAGGAACAAAAAGAAGGAGGAAGAAGUGAAAGUUAGGGAUAAGGGUUUUUAAGGUAAGUUUUUAUGCAUUUAGAGUUUGAAUGAUUUAAGAUGUUUAAUUAAUGUUUUAAUAUGUUAGUUUAACUUAAAUUGUUUUAUAUAAGGUCUAAAAUUAUGGGUUUUUGAGGAACACAUGUUCAUUAUUUUAAGAUCUGUAGUUUUGGAGACAAACAGAUUGAGAUUUCUGAAAUCCUGAUCAACUGGUUGACUGGUUGGAUUGAACCAAUUGAUCGGUUUGCCUAAUGUUCUCAAUCAAUCGGUUGGCCGAGCAGUAGAUGUUGAUUGGUUCUUUUAGGUUUGAUCAGUUCAAGAUAUGUUCAGGAUCAAUUAAGUGGAUCUAUAUCGAUUUCAUAAUUAUAAUUUGGUCUCUAAUCUUAUUUGAGAUGACAUUCAUUUUCUUUGAUAAUUAUGCAAAUAUCUAUUAUGUUUUGAUAUCAGGAUAUGUCAGAAAUUCCAAACUAACAGAAAGUAGUUAGUCUAAGUGCAUAUAGUAGUUUGUAUACCUAGUUAAUGAGAAAGGCAUCAACCUAUGACGACUGAUCCUCUUAUAACUAUCGAACCCGCAAACCUCUUCUGUUAUGAGAACCUUAGGGUUUCAUUUGUUUUCUUACAUGUAUUCCACUACCAUAUAUCUUAAUUCAUCGAUAAUAUUGUCCGUAAUUAUUUAAAAAACACUACAAGAUUUAACAGUUUUACCGACGGAAUUUUUUCCGUCGGUGAAUCUUUCGUCGGUAAUUUUUUUUCCAUCGGUAAAUCCGUUGGUAAUAAAAAAUAAAUUUAUCCGCUUCAUUUCGUCGGUAUAUCCCUCGGUAAUAAUAUUUUUUUAUUACCGACGGAUUUACCGACGGAAUUACCGAUGGAAUGUCCGUCGGUAAUUCCGUCGGUAAUUAUUUAAAAACAUUUUAAAAAAAUUCAUUUUAUAAAAUUAUAUAAUUAAAUUAGCAUAAAUUAACACUGUAUAAUAUAUACUAAAAAAUGCUUGGAAAAAAGAAUAAGAAAAUCAACUCAAACAAAUUUGCAACAAAUAAAUAAAACAAAAAAAUAAAUUCAACUAAAAAAAUUCAUAUGAAAAAAAUAAAGUUGCAAUUGCUAAAAAUUUAAAAAUCCUAUAAAUAAAUCAACUAAAAAUUGAUCUCAUAUGAAAAAAAAUCUCACAACAACAUUUAUACAAUUAUUAAGAACAAAAACAAUUAAAAAUAAAAUAAAAAACAAAUAUAGUGAAAAAAAUCAUGAAAAAAGAAGAAAAAAGAAAAAUCUUACCUUAAUGUGGUUGCAAGUGAAGCUAAGGAGAAAGAAAAUUUUUUGUUAAGCAUAUUAAUUAAAAAAAAAAACUAAGAGGAUAAAAGAAGAAAGAAGAAGAAGAAGACAUACCCAAGCAUGGAGGAAAAUAGAAGGAGAUGAGGAGAGAAAAGAAGAGAAAGAAAUAUAUAUUGAUGUUUUUUACAUAUAGUGAAGAAGAAGAAGAAGAAGAAGAAGAAGAAGUAGAAGAACAAGAAGAAGAAGAAUAAUAAGGAGAAGAAAUGAUUCUGUCUCUUGUGAAAUAAGGGGAUUCAGGCUUUUUAUUGGGGCGCGUUACCGACAGAUAAUUGAAUAUUUAUAUUUUUUAAUUAUUCCGUCGGUAAUUCCAUCGGUAAUAUUUAAUUUAAAUUUUCAAUUUCGUAAAAUUUUUUCAGAAACCGCCAACAAUUACCGACGGUUUUUCAAUCCGUCGGUGAUUCCGUCUGUAAUAUUUAAAUGAAAAUUUUAAAUUAAUUGAAUUUUUUCAGAAAACCGCCAAAUAACACUCUCUGGAAAAUACCGACGGAAAAUACCGUCGGAAUUUUUUUAGAAAUCCUCCAAAUAUCACCGAUUUAUUUCCAUCGGUGUAAAAUAGUUUUUGUUGACAGAUUGUAUCUGUAUUUCUUAUCUAUCCAUCCUGCAAAUUCUUAAGAUCAUAGAAACAUAUACAACACAAUAACACUAGUUCCAUGUAUACGAAUAAAAUCACAUAAAAUAAACGUUUUCUUGUAAUUUAAUAAUAAAUGAACGUCAUUUUCAUUACAUUAAAGUUAAUUUUGCUCAGAAAUAUUACAUUAUAGUUUAUAGUAUUACAGAUUCGUGUUAUGCAAAUUAAUCAUAAUUGUCUUCUUCUUCUUCAAUUUCAUAAUUGUCAUUUCCAUCACAAUAUUCUAUGUUGAUUUCGUCACUAUUAUCAUCUUCAUCGACUUGUGGAUAUCAGCUGGUUCUUAAAACAUUAUUUAACUCCCCAACAUCAACAAUAACAAAAGUAUCAACUAACAGUUUUUGGAUUAGAUAAUGUGUAAUUAAUAAAACUCCGAACCUCAUUACUAUUAAUGUAUCUAUAUAGAAAAUAUUGUAGUCAUAUUCUUGUGUUGUAACAUCACCAUUACUAUUGUAUAUUGCCCUACACACAUAUAAAAAAGGUUGGCUAUCCAAUAGGUCAAGCCUCCCAAUUAUUCUCAACUAUUAUAAUUAUCCAUCAUAUGCAUCAUUUCGGGUGAAUCUUGAUACAUCCAUGAACGAUCAUCCAUUAAUUAUAUCAAACCUAUAUAGAAUAUUGAUGACAACAUAUAUUAAUUAAUUAUGUGAACUAAAUAAAUUUGCAAACAUUGGCUUAACUCAAACUUAUUCAAUCUUUUUUAAUAUAUAGUAUUCUUAAUUCAUUAUCAAUUAUCUAUAUAAUUUCAUAUUUCUAUACAUUUACUGAAAAUUUGAACUCAAAAAUAAAAUUAACAAAAUAUAAAAUGGACCCGUUAAAUAAGUCAUUAUUUAUUUCAUCACAAAACACCUAAGUCACAAAUUUGAAAUGAAUUUCAUCAAUUUGCAAACAAAUAAAAUUUUACCAAAUCUCGAACAAACCCUAACAUGUACGAAUCGUACAUUCAUACAACAAAUUUCUAUAAGAAAAAAGCUAUAAAACAAGUACACACAAUCUUAAAAGUUAUAUCUUUAAUAUUAUCAACGGGUUUACUAACAGAUUUUACCGAUGGAUUAAUAUUGUUGGUAAUAAUGUCUAUAUAAAUGACAUGUUAUCGUACUUUUUUAUUUUUUUUAAUUCCUUCCUUUUCCACUAUAAUUCUUUCGAUAUAUACCGGGAGAAUAAUUUUAUCAGUGUUUACCGAUAGAUAGAGUGAGGGAAUGUUCUGUUGCUAAAAUUCACUAUAAUCUACCAACAGAAACAUUCCGUCGGUAUUUUUAUUUGUAUUUGUUAAUUUUCUGAUAGUGUUUUUUAGGGUUUUGUUGUUCUAGGAUUGAUGAGAUUAUUGUACCAAGAUUGGGUAUUUUUAGAGAAAUUAAAAGAGAGGUGUUUUUUUAUUCAACAUUAUCAAUAUUUAACAACAAAAAAAAAGCACUUGGUGUGAAUUUCGACAUCUUGAUAUGUAAAAACUAUUGGUUGGGUUGAAUCUCAUACGUGACAUUUGCUAAUUUCCAGAAGAGAAGAUACAUUGAGUACAAAGAGGAGAUUUUGUUUUGAUUUGUAUUUGAUUUUCUAUUUGUGGAGAGGGAGAAAACAAGUCACGGAGAAAAAAAAUCAAAAUUUGUGUACUCUAUGAUGCAAAAGCAUUGACUAGGUUUACAAUGAGUAAUCUUUUGAAAGACGGAGGGAAAUGUUAUCGCAUUCUAAUAUAGGAGUCCCGUAAUAAUUUUUCGAUUUAAAUAUUAUAUUUAAAUUCAAUUGAAGGCUGUUUUUGAUAUUGGAAAUAUUUGUUUUUGGCACACAAGUCGGUGGUACAUUUCAUGAAAGAGAAGUUUUGAAAUUCAUUCUUUUAUCAGUUCAUGGCUCAUGCACUACUGAUAACUUGAAAAUUAAAGCUUUUCUGAAUGUCCGAUUGCUACAUUAAGCUAUUCAGUAUAUUAAUCAAAUAAAAGGUUAUUAGUUUGCUUGAUUUUCUCUGUACCGUAGAGAUAGAAAAUGCAUUUAGGUGUAAAGUUUCAUUUUCUUAUCGAAAUCAAUCAGUUCCAUGCUUGGUAGCUUUAGUUUAUACCACGUAUUUAUACCAUUGUUGCUAAGCAUUUUGAAUCUCUUGCACUGCUCAUACAGGACUGUACAAAAACAUGGAUGGCCUGACAGAUGAUGUGGAGAAGUCAAAUGAAACGGUUAUUAUCUCUACCACCAUUUCCUUUUAUCAUUUUGAGUAGCAGCAUAGAUUUGUUAGGGUUUAUGGACUUGAUAAGUUAAUGGUUAAUCAUGUUUGCAAUGCAGUGCUUUUGUCCACCAUCCCUGUUAGGAAAAUCCUGCAUGCAUCCAAGAGACGAGACCGCAUCAACAUCUCUCUUUCUUACUCUUGUGCACUAACCUGUCAACCUUCAACCUGAAAGAAUCAUCGCUCCAGCACCUAGGAUCCAUCUUCCAGCUUCUUUAAUUAAAUGCUAUGCCCGCUAUCAAUGUUUUUGGUCAGGUGCUUGGAAAAUAUCAAGCAGUCUAUAUAUUUUCAACUCUCUAUUGAUUAAAACAUUGUUUAUACUAAAUGAGGAAUGUUUAGGUUUUCUUCUAUACUUUGAUUGGAUUUACUAUAACAAAGAACUUGAUACUUUUGAUAAGAUAUAUAAACUAAUAUGAGGAUCGAUAAAUGUUGAGCACAUCCAUGGUAUAUAUGUAUUUUUUUAUCACAGGCUCACUGUUACUCUUACAUAAGUAAGAGGGUGAGGUCUCAAGUUUGAGUUUCACUCUUGUCAGUUCAACUCUAAUAAAAAUGAAUCACAUUGACAAAAGAUCUUCUAAAGAAAAUAUUGAACAGAAGCCAUUUGCAUACAGUAUGCAUAUUUUGAAGGUAAUGCAAAUUUUGUUCUCAGUCAUAUUAUUAGAACUGGUUUUCUGUGAUGUUUUUACCUUGUGAAAUGGAGAAACUGGUUUGAUAUUUUUCUAGCGCACUAUACAGCCAUCCUAGCUAUACUUAAUUGUUUCAUCUGCAAUCUUGCUGGCUAGUCAUGUGAAUAGACCAGUUUGUUGGGAGAAACAGUAUAUUGUAGUUGAGAUAUUUCUUACAAUUUGACGCUAUUUUUGGCAUUAAAUGUCUAAUAUGAGAGUCAACCCUUAUUAUAUUUCAUGGUGGCUUUAUCUCUGUAAUAGUUUUAGCAUUGCUAUUAUGUGAAGUGAAACGAUAUAAUUAUUACAAGUGGAAUGAAAUUUAGAAUGAUAGAGUACUUUGUACAUUGAAUUAACUUUUUGUUUUUUAUUCUUUUGCGCACUAUGCUUAAUAGAAAAAUGCAUAUAUUCAAGUCCCGUUGCAAGUACUGUACUUGCGAGAAAAGCUGGAUUUAAAAAAAAAAUAUUAACACAGUUUCAAAAGAUUUAAGAGAAAAUGACACCAUUUUUUAAAAAAAAUUAAGGAAAUGGUAUAAUAUAUAACUGUUAUUCUAAAUCGUGUACGUGAAAAAAUUAAGGCUGAAUGAGAAGUGUAAACUUCAGGGAUGUUCAAGUGCUAAUGGAUGGACAGCAUGCAUGCGAGGGUAUAGCAAGAGAAUUACGUUCAGCAACUCCACAUGAUAUUCCCUCAUUCAGUGGUCGAAUGGAGCUUGACAAACAAGAUGAUCACUCCCUCUUCGACACAAGCAUUCAGGGUGAAGUGGAAGCGUGUCAAAUUCUUGAGGACACAAGUUUCCCUAUAUCUGAGUUGGAUACUCCAAGCAAUCUUCAAGUAAUUGUUGAAGAUGGUCCUAUAAAUUCUGCCUUAUAUAAUUAGGGGCUUCAAUAGAAACAAAACAUCACUCUGCUCCUGAAACAGGCUUAUCUGGAAAAACAAAAUCAAGAGACAGCCUUGGGAAGAACAGGGUUUGGGGAAAGGUCGAGGAAUUUGUUAAAAUCUUCAACCAGGAAGUUCCAGAAAAACCCAACUUUGAUCUUAAUGACUCACAACAUCAAGAUUCUAGACGAAAGGAAAGGAGCAAAUUCAGGACUGAGGAUACCACAAAUUAAUGAGAAAAUGCACUCGAAUAAAGUGUACGAGGAAAACAUGCCAAAUGCUUCAAUCCUGGUACUCGCCUGAAAAUGAUUUUGCAUUUAUUUUGUCAGAUUUUAGCAACAACAGAUACAAUUCGAUAGUUUUCUGGAUGAGAGUUAUGUCCAUCUCCUAGUGUAUCUAGAAUAUUCAAUUAUUAUUAUCAUUAUUUUGCAAUUUUAAGGUGGAUGAAUGUCUUAGGCAAUCUCACAAACAACAUCCUGCUACAAUGCCUAUUACCAUUAAAAGUUUUGAACACAAUUAAUUGCUAUACUACUAGAGUGUUAAUAAAACCCGUAUUUUUUAAUAGUGGUUAACUAAAAUAUAUGUUAUUUUCUAAAUGUAUUUUUCACUUAUAUUAUUUUUUAAAAACAUUUAUUAAACUAUCGAGAGACAUAUGUUUGUGAUCGCAUCGGCAAGUUUCGUAUCAACGAACUAUGAGUAUAAAUAUCAACAUACAAUUCUGUUAAUAAACCUAAAAGUCUUAGUAGUGAAUCAACCCCGACUAACUAUUCAAGUUAAUUUACUAUGAUAACAAACCUUAACAAAUAGCAAGGCUUAACUUAGGAUUUUUAUUUGAUAAGUUUGCUUCAAGGUCUAAAUCACUAUUCAUAUCACUAGGUAGUCAAAAAUUCUUAAUUAGAAACCCAUUAGAAAUCAUCUAAAAAUCAUGAAAGGAUGAGCAAGAUCAGGUUUAGGUCAUCUUUUACUUAAGAUUCUAGAAAGAAAAUUCAAAGAAAGAAUCUCUUAUUGGCUUCAGAAAGAUAUUAAGUUAGGUUGAACUCAUGUAAUCUUUGUUUUUAAAAGGGAUUUUCACCACUUGAUAAUUUGAGGAAGAUGGAACAGCCGAGGUGAAUAAAAUAGAUAUUUGCAACUUCAUGAAAACAUUAAUUACUAACACUAAAAAACUAUGAAGUGAAACGAACUUCCACGUUAUGAAUAUCACGAAGGACUGCUGCAUAUGCCCGUUUCCUUCGAGGUCUAAAAUCAUAUCUACACGGUUGGGCGUGAAAAGUUUUGUUCAUCAGAAACCCUCUUGAAAAUCACGGAGGGCUCUAUAUAUAUGCCUGAUUUUGUUAUUAUAAAUAUAUUUAAUUUAUUAAUAAAAAAUUUUAAUUUUUAAUUUUUAUUAAAUAUUUUAUUAAUAAAUAUAAUAUUUUAUUAAUGAAUCUAGAGUAAAGAUAAAAUUUUAGGAAUAAAAAUAUUUUGCAUAGAAAAUUAUAAAAUUGUUAUAAUUAUAGGAUUUCUAUUUCAUCAAAACAUUGUUCCUAAAUAUUAAUUGUCAAUACUCUAUUAAGACUAAAUACUAAUUAGAGCUAUUGAGAUUCAUACAUAUUAUGUUAUUUUUUUUAUAAAAGAAAAUAAUUGUUCUUAUAAGCUAAGGUAUAAGUAAUAUCUAGAACUAACACGUAGGUACUUGUCGGGUGACACGUACACUGAACUAACUCGCAUGAGAAUUUUAUAUAGAAAGAUCACUUGUAUCUAUGGAAAUGUUCAUAUGACGAUUGUGUAAAUAAUCCUUAGACUUGAGAUCACUAAGUUAUCUUAUAUAAAAAGUGUUAUGUUUUGAUUAUCCUACAUGUUAUCUUAAUCAAGGCUAACAAAUUGGCAGAUAUUGAGUAUAAUAUGAAUUAUAUAAAGGUAUUUAAGUAAUCAAGAGAUGAUUUAUCACCUUAGGUGAAUUAGAAAAAAUAUUUCAUAUAUUUUUAAAUAGUAUUGAUAAAUUAUUGCGCAAGGUGGAAUAAGAUUUGAAAAAAAAAUCAAAUUUUAUUCAAAUAAUCAAUAACUAUGGUGUUAAGAACAAACAUGAUUUGACAAAAUAGACACACUCCAGGCUAAAAUGUGUAAAUUAUAAUAUUAUUGAUGAAGGGAUAAUAAUUAUACUGAGAAAUUGGUUAUUAAAAGGUUAAGUCAAACCACUUAUGACUUUUCUAAUAUUUUGGGGAUCAUAACAUGUUUUUAAUUAGACAUUGUACUUGAUUUUCAAAUAGAAAUCAAUGAAUUGUUAAAUUGAUAAUGAAUUAAUUUAUUUAAUUCUAUUUUUUUAAGAUUGUAAUUUAUAUUUGGGUCAACUUAUAAAUGAACCUAAUGGGUUACAUACAUAAAAAUCAUUGGUCAGAAAUUAAAAUGAAAUGAUUAAUCAAGUGUGACUUGAUUAUAAAUAAGUUUUAGAAAUUGAGAACUAUAAUGUAACUAAUAUAGGAAAUUACAAUUCUAGACCUAUAAAUAAUCAAAUAAGGACUUGAUCGAAUGCAUUUAUUAAAUUAGCAUAAAUAAUAUAUUUGAUAUUGUUUAAGAGGCAAAUUAAUAUUUUUCUAUUUAUAGGGUUUUUAGAUUUUUCUAUAAAUAGAAAGUUAUAUAUUUUAUUUGUGAGUAAAGUAUAAUACAAAAAUACUUAAAACACAAUAAAAAAAACUAGCACUCAAAGGUAUAACAAUCUCUUUUCUAAAAAGAAUUAGAAGAUUUAUAUGAUUCGUGUAGAUUAUUGUUAAUGGCCAGAUAUUUGGAUAAUUUAUGGUUUGCGAUAAUAUAGCCUUGAAACAAAUAUUCAAAAUUAAAAAACAAAUCUGAUUUCCAGAUAUUUUUUUUCAUAAUUCAAAAGAAUUAUAAAUCUAUCUUACAAGAUUUUGAAGACUUUGUUUCGAUAAACCUAACAUGGACAAGUACAGGAUCCGUACAGAUUCUUCCCUGUACUCUCUGGGAUCAAGAUUCAAAGACUUCUUAGCAAAUAAAUGAACGCGAUUCCUUGUUAUUUAUUCCUUGGUCGCUUUCCAAAACUCCAAAGUCAAUACGUAGUAGCUGGAGAAGGGCAACUUGUUCCCUUCCUAUCUCUUUCCGUUGGCUGCUGAUCACUAUUUAGUUCCAUUAACCAGCUAUUAAUAAAAUCAAAUUUCAACGCCUGUCGACGCCCAGCACCCCUUUCACAACUCCAUGCAGCACCCCUUUCACAACUCCAUGCAUUAAUUCUAACUUCCUUUCGUUUGUUGGCAGGCACCGUAGAAUUGGACUUUUAAUGGGACUCGGCGGAAGUAUAAACCUCCAAGUUCCAAACCUUGCUUUUUCUUUGCUACAAAGAGCCAUUGGUUUGUGCUUUCGCGCAAUCGCCAGAGUCAUAGACUGUGGCGUGAAGUAAUAAAUUCACACGAAUUUCUAUAAUGCAUGUUGAUGCAUAAACCAUGGUGAACACAUACGUGAUCUCGUGUUUAGAAAAAAAAAAAUAUUAAUCGGUAAUAAUACUUGGUCAGUCAAUAAUAAUGAUAGAUUGUUCGGUUAUAAUAAAAUAAUGAUGCAUAAAAUAUCUUGGUACACAUGCCUGUCAAUAAUAAUGAUAAAUCAUUCGGCUAUGAUAAAUAGUGAUGCGUGAAUCUUGAUGAACACAAAUGGAUGGUUAAAGAAAAAAAGUUAAUGAACAAUAAUAAUCGAUCAAUUAAUAAUGAUAAGAGAUAAUUAUCUAAGAGGUGGCUCAGUAAUAAAAGCUUGGAAUUAAAGUAUUUGCUUUCUCUGUAGUAUCAGGUUCGAACCCUAUGAUUGCUCGUAUGAUAGUCACUGGAGGCUUACAUGGUUGUUAACUUCAGGGCUCGUGGGAUUAGUCGAGGUGCGCGUAAACUGGUCCGGACACCCAUGUUAAUGAAAAAAAUAAUGAUAAGAGAUCGUUUGGCUAUGAUAAGAUGUUGCUGCAUAAAUCCUGGUGGGCAUGUGGGUGGCCACGUGCUUAAAAAAUGAGUUCAUCAGCAAUGAUAAUGGUAGAUCGUUCGACUAGUAAUAGUGAUGCAUAAAUCUCGGUGGACACAUAAUGAGAAGCCUUUUCAAAGCAGAAGCAGAACGGGGAAGGAUAAAUCUUGGUGGCACGAUAAUGGUCACGUACAUGGAAAAUGAGUUGAUCAGCAAUAAUAAUAAUCGGUGAAUGAUGAUCGUUCAGAUGAUAGGCAGGUGAAAUAUUAGGAUAAUUAAUCGAUCGGCCAAGAUAGCUAGAGUUCAUGGGCAUGUUCCAUGAGAGAGGCCACUUCGGUGCUCAAAGCAGUAAGUUUGUAAUAAAUGAUAGUAAAAACAAAGAGUAUAAUAGUAAAAGAUUUACCAGGAGUUUCUUACUUGGAGCUCAAAUGCCGAUAAUCGAGUGUGUUUGAAAGUAUAGUAGUUGUUUUUUAAAAUGUUUUUUUAUUUUAAAUUAUAUAAAAAUAAUAUUUUUAAAAAUUAUUUUUGAUAUUAAUAUAUCAAAAUGAUUUAAAAAUAUUAAAAACAUAUUAAUUUAAAAAAAAAUUUAAUUUUUUUAAAAAUACUUUCGGAUCGUAAUUAACGGUCCUUCGUAAUUUUAUGAAUUUUAACUAUAAUAAUGUCAAUAUUGACAAACGCCAUUGCCUGUCAGAUAGUUGGAUUUGACUACAUAUAUUUUACCAUUCUAAUCAAACAUGAUGACUUUGGUAUUUACAGGAACUAAGAACCAAGCAUACUCGUUAUUUUUCACCCACACAAGUAGAUGGAGAUUGAAGUGCAAGCCACCGUAAAAGGAACGUCAGCCUCCAAAAAUCCACUCUUCAAGGGUUUCUUUCUUUGCCUGGUCAAUGUAUACUCUUGCUUCUCUGACAUGCAAAGAGCCACCAGCUGGUGACCAGAAGUACUAUAUAUAAUAGGAAAAAGGCUCACCAAAGGAAUCAGCUAUUU